GGGGCCGUAGUCUAGCCUGGCUAGGGUGGGUUUCAGCCCGCGUGACCCCGGGUUCAAAUCCCGGCGGCCCCACCA
rnacentral:tRNA from 1 species